AUUUAAGGGUUGGCAGUGAAGGUAGUGAUGUCUCUCUGGAACUUUCUGUGCAGCUGAGCCUUUCUGAAGACAUCAUCCAUAAAGUUUUGGGGUGUCAAAUCCUGUCUCAUAGCUGCCCAAGCUCUCGCUGUCAUGUUAUGAGGAAAAAAGAAAUGCAGAGUUGUAGUGAAUGUAGAGCAUUACUAUAUUAGCAACCUUAUGCUAUCAUGAAAGGAGGUGAACGUCAUAUAGGGCAUGUAAACAAGAGCAAUAUUUGUAAGAGCUGCCUCCUGUCGAUGUGUGGGCAAACUUCUCACUCAGGCUGCGAAGAAAACAACAGCGUGUCAAGACAGACUCUCUGGCAACAGUGCAAGUUGCUUAGUGAAACAAAAUAAAACUUGGGCUUCCUAUCUCAAAAGGUCAAGACAGCCAAAGAACACUGCCUGAAGUGACAGUGAUGAAUUAUGUAGUAUUGCUGUUAGUGUGAAAUGGAGUGGCUAUAAUGUAAUAUGUGAGCAUCUUAGAAACAUGAGCCGAUUCACCAAUGACAGAUGUGCUAAUGAAUGUGUGGAAUUAAAGUAAAUAGCAUUGUGUGUAAGCAGUCAGUGAUUGCAACAAUAAAACUUUGUGAUGUGAGUCC
ensembl:lncRNA